CAUUAUUGUUUUUCCUUCUUAUUUUUGUGUGUUACAGUAGAAAUGCUGGUGAUUCUCCGUGUAUCUUCAUGUCCCCUGUGGAAUCCUGAGCUCCUGCGCUGAGCGUCGCAGGGGCCACGCCCACACCCACUAAAAACCAUUCUUGGACUCCAGCCCUGGGACAUUGGAGCAGUGGAUUGGAUUUGGAUGCCGGAGUCCAGGAUCUCAAAUUGGCCCCCUCAAGUGACCACAGCCACAGCAUCCACUGUGCCCCUUGCAGCAGACAGCAGACUUCAUCUCAUCAGGAUCUUCCAGGAGGAGCAUCAUGUCUGAGCUUCACUUAAGAUGCCCAAAAUGGAGCCACCAGCAACAGGGAAAUUCCUGAGAACACGGCUGUCAGAGGAAAAGUUGUCGAGCCUAUGCCAUUGCAUCCAGUGGACAUGGAGGCACCAGAAUGAACCAGAAAGGAAAGUGAAUUGUCUGACACAACAAGGACCAACUUUGCCCAGUUCAGCAGUCCUUGCCUUACAAAGCACCCCACUUGGGUGAUUUAUGUAUGACACUACAGUCCAGACAAUUACAUGACAGGCAUUCAAGUCUGGAAAUAAAGUGCUUUAAUGUCAGAAGAAGUGUCAUUAUCUCCCAGCUAUUUAUGU